UACGUAGGGUGCAAGCGUUGUCCGGAAUUAUUGGGCGUAAAGAGCUCGUAGGCGGUCUGUCGCGUCGGCUGUGAAAACCCGGAGCUCAACUCCGGGCCUGCAGUCGAUACGGGCAGACUGGAGUUCGGCAGGGGAGACUGGAAUUCCUGGUGUAGCGGUGAAAUGCGCAGAUAUCGGGAGGAACACCUGUGGUGUAGACGGCUAUCUGGACGGCGACUGACGCUGAGACACGAAAGCGUGGGUAGCAAACAGG
rnacentral:rRNA from 1 species